AUUGAACGCUGGCGGCAGGCUUAACACAUGCAAGUCGAGCGGAGAUGAGGUGCUUGCACCUUAUCUUAGCGGCGGACGGGUGAGUAAUGCUUAGGAAUCUGCCUAUUAGUGGGGGACAACAUUCCGAAAGGAAUGCUAAUACCGCAUACGUCCUACGGGAGAAAGCAGGGGAUCUCCGGACCUUGCGCUAAUAGAUGAGCCUAAGUCGGAUUAGCUAGUUGGUGGGGUAAAGGCCUACCAAGGCGACGAUCUGUAGCGGGUCUGAGAGGAUGAUCCGCCACACUGGGACUGAGACACGGCCCAGACUCCUACGGGAGGCAGCAGUGGGGAAUAUUGGACAAUGGGGGAAACCCUGAUCCAGCCAUGCCGCGUGUGUGAAGAAGGCCUUAUGGUUGUAAAGCACUUUAAGCGAGGAGGAGGCUACUGAGACUAAUACUCUUGGAUAGUGGACGUUACUCGCAGAAUAAGCACCGGCUAACUCUGUGCCAGCAGCCGCAGUAAUAC
rnacentral:rRNA from 1 species